CCUACGGGGGGCAGCAGUAGGGAAUUUUCGUCAAUGGGCGCAAGCCUGAACGAGCAAUGCCGCGUGAACGAGGAAGGUCUUCGGAUCGUAAAGUUCUGUUGAAGGGGAAACAGAGCGGAGAGAGGAAAUGAACUCCGAUUGAUAUUACCCUUCGAGGAAGUCACGGCUAACUACGUGCCAGCAGCCGCGGUAAUACGUAGGUGGCGAGCGUUAUCCGGAAUGAUUGGGCGAAAAGGGUGCGUAGGCGGCCUGCUAAGUAUGGAGUGAAAGGUACCGGCUCAACCGGUACAGGCUCUGGAAACUGGCGGGCUAGAGAGCAGGAGAGGGCGGUGGAACUCCAUGUGUAGCGGUAAAAUGCGUAGAUAUAUGGAAGAACACCAGUGGCGAAGGCGGCCGCCUGGCCUGUUACUGACGCUGAGGCACGAAAGCGUGGGGAGCAAAUAGGAUUAGAUACCCGAGUAGUC
rnacentral:rRNA from 1 species